rnacentral:rRNA from 1 species
AGUGAACGCUGGCGGUAGGCCUAACACAUGCAAGUCGAACGGCAGCACAGUAAGAGCUUGCUCUUACGGGUGGCGAGUGGCGGACGAGUGAGGAAUACAUCGGAAUCUACUUUUUCGUGGGGGAUAACGUAGGGAAACUUACGCUAAUACCGCAUACGACCUACGGGUGAAAGCAGGGGAUCUUCGGACCUUGCGCGAUUGAAUGAGCCGAUGUCGGAUUAGCUAGUUGGCGGGGUAAAGGCCCACCAAGGCGACGAUCCGUAGCUGGUCUGAGAGGAUGAUCACCCACACUGGAACUGAGACACGGUCCAGACUCCUACGGGAGGCAGCAGUGGGGAAUAUUGGACAAUGGGCGCAAGCCUGAUCCAGCCAUACCGCGUGGGUGAAGAAGGCCUUCGGGUUGUAAAGCCCUUUUGUUGGGAAAGAAAAGCAGCAGGUUAAUACCCCGCUGUUCUGACGGUACCCAAAGAAUAAGCACCGGCUAACUUCGUG